rnacentral:rRNA from 1 species
UUUAACUGAGCGUUCAGUUACUUGACGUAGACCCGAAACCGGGCGACCUACCCAUGAGCAGGAUGAAGCGAAAGUAAAAUUUCGUGGAGGUCCGAACCCACGAGCGUUGAAAAGCUCGGGGAUGACUUGUGGGUAGCGGUGAAAUUCCAAUCGAGCCCGGAGAUAGCUGGUUCUCCCCGAAAUAGCUUUAGGGCUAGCCUCAAGGUGAGAGAUACGGAGGUAGAGCACUGAAUGUCCUAGGGGGUAUUGCACCUACCGAAGACUAUCAAACUCCGAAUGCCGUCAUCUUAUACUUGGGAGUCAGACUGUGGGUGAUAAGAUUCAUAGUCGAAAGGGCAACAGCCCAGAUCGUCAGCUAAGGUCCCUAAAUGUAAGUUAAGUGGUAAAGGAUGUGGGAUUGCACAGACAACCAGGAUGUUGGCUUAGAAGCAGCCACUCAUUCAAAGAGUGCGUAAUAGCUCACUGGUCGAGUGAUCCUGCGCCGAAGAUUUCCGGGGCUAAAACUUACUACCGAAGCUACGGCAUCAUUAUGAUGGGUAGGGGAGCUUCCCAUACGGGUUGAAGCAUGACCGUAAGGACAUGUGGACAGUAUGGGAGUGAGAAUGUUGGCAUGAGUAGCGAGAUGUGGGUGAGAAUCCCACAGGCCGUAAACCCAAGGUUUCCAGGGGAAGGUUCGUCCGCCCUGGGUUAGUCGGGACCUAAGCUGAGGCCGAAAGGCGUAGGUGAUGGACAACAGGUUGAUAUUCCUGUACUACCGAUAACCGUUUGAGAGAAGGGAUGACACAGUAGGAUAAGCUAAGCACACUGUUGGUUAUGUGUGCCCAAGCAUUGAGGCAGUCAAAGUAGGCAAAUCCGCUUUGAUAAUGCUGGGAUGUGAUGGGGAGCGAAAUUUAGUAGCGAAGUAGCUGAUUUCACACUGUCAAGAAAAGUCUCUAUCGAGGUUAAAGGUACCCGUACCGCAAACCGACACAGGUGGGUGAGGAGAGUAUCCUAAGGCCAGCGAGAGAACUGUUGUUAAGGAACUCGGCAAAAUGACCCCGUAACUUAGGGAUAAGGGGUGCCACCAUCAGGUGGCCGCAGAGAAUAGGCCCAAGCGACUGUUUACCAAAAACAUAGGUUUCUGCUAAGUCGCAAGACGAUGUAUAGGAGCUGACGCCUGC